rnacentral:rRNA from 1 species
GAUGAACGCUGGCGGCGUGCCUAAUACAUGCAAGUAGAACGCUGAAGGAGGAGCUUGCUCUUCUGGAUGAGUUGCGAACGGGUGAGUAACGCGUAGGUAACCUGCCUGGUAGCGGGGGAUAACUAUUGGAAACGAUAGCUAAUACCGCAUGACAACAGUUAUUGCAUGAUAACUGUUUAAAAGGGGCAACUGCUCCACUACCAGAUGGACCUGCGUUGUAUUAGCUAGUUGGUGAGGUAACGGCUCACCAAGGCGACGAUGCAUAGCCGACCUGCGAGGGGGAUCGGCCGCACUGAGACGGAGACACGGCACAGACGCCUACGGGAGGCAGCAGUAGGGAAUCUUCGGCAAUGGGCGGAAGUCUGAGCGAGCAACGCCGCGGGAGUGAAGAAGGUUUUCGGAUCGUAAAGCUCUGUUGUAAGAGAAGAACGAGUGUGAGAGUGGAAAGAUCACACUGUGACGGUAUCUUACCAGAAAGGGACGGCUAACUACGUG